GAUGAACGCUGGCGGCGUGCCUAAUACAUGCAAGUCGAGCGAACGGACGAGAAGCUUGCUUCUCUGAUGUUAGCGGCGGACGGGUGAGUAACACGUGGAUAACCUACCUAUAAGACUGGGAUAACUUCGGGAAACCGGAGCUAAUACCGGAUAAUAUUUUGAACCGCAUGGUUCAAAAGUGAAAGACGGUCUUGCUGUCACUUCUAGAUGGAUCCGCGCUGCAUUAGCUAGUUGUUAAGGUAACGGCUUACCAAGGCAACGAUGCAUAGCCGACCUGAGAGGGUGAUCGGCCACACUGGAACUGAGACACGGUCCAGACUCCUGCGGGAGGCAGCAGUAGGGAAUCUUCCGCAAUGGGCGAAAGCCUGACGGAGCAACGCCGCGUGAGUGAUGAAGGUCUUCGGAUCGUAAAACUCUGUUAUUAGGGAAGAACAUAUGUGUAAGUAACUGUGCACAUCUUGACGGUACCUAAUCAGAAAGCCACGGCUAACUACGUG
rnacentral:rRNA from 1 species